rnacentral:rRNA from 1 species
UACGGAGGAUGCGAGCGUUAUCCGGAUUUAUUGGGUUUAAAGGGUGCGCAGGCGGGGCUGUAAGUCAGUGGUGAAAUACUGCAGCUUAACUGUAGAAUUGCCAUUGAUACUGCGGUUCUUGAGUGUGGUCAAGGCAGGCGGAAUGUGUAAUGUAGCGGUGAAAUGCUUAGAGAUUACACAGAACACCGAUUGCGAAGGCAGCUUGCUGGGCCAUUACUGACGCUCAUGCACGAAAGCGUGGGGAUCAAACAGGAUUAGAUACCCUGGUAGUCCACGCUGUAAACGAUGAUCACUAGCUGUUGGCGAUAUACAGUCAGUGGCAAAGCGAAAGCAUUAAGUGAUCCACCUGGGGAGUACGGCCGCAAGGUUGAA